rnacentral:rRNA from 1 species
UGAACGCUGGCGGCGUGCCUAAUACAUGCAAGUCGAGCGAACAGACGAGGAGCUUGCUCCUCUGACGUUAGCGGCGGACGGGUGAGUAACACGUGGAUAACCUACCUAUAAGACUGGGAUAACUUCGGGAAACCGGAGCUAAUACCGGAUAAUAUAUUGAACCGCAUGGUUCAAUAGUGAAAGACGGUUUUGCUGUCACUUAUAGAUGGAUCCGCGCCGCAUUAGCUAGUUGGUAAGGUAACGGCUUACCAAGGCAACGAUGCGUAGCCGACCUGAGAGGGUGAUCGGCCACACUGGAACUGAGACACGGUCCAGACUCCUACGGGAGGCAGCAGUAGGGAAUCUUCCGCAAUGGGCGAAAGCCUGACGGAGCAACGCCGCGUGAGUGAUGAAGGUCUUCGGAUCGUAAAACUCUGUUAUUAGGGAAGAACAAAUGUGUAAGUAACUAUGCACGUCUUGACGGUACCUAAUCAGAAAGCCACGGCUAACUACGUGCCAGCAGCCGCGGUAAUACGUAGGUGGCAAGCGUUAUCCGGAAUUAUUGGGCGUAAAGCGCGCGUAGGCGGUUUUUUAAGUCUGAUGUGAAAGCCCACGGCUCAACCGUGGAGGGUCAUUGGAAACUGGAAAACUUGAGUGCAGAAGAGGAAAGUGGAAUUCCAUGUGUAGCGGUGAAAUGCGCAGAGAUAUGGAGGAACACCAGUGGCGAAGGCGACUUUCUGGUCUGUAACUGACGCUGAUGUGCGAAAGCGUGGGGAUCAAACAGGAUUAGAUACCCUGGUAGUCCACGCCGUAAACGAUGAGUGCUAAGUGUUAGGGGGUUUCCGCCCCUUAGUGCUGCAGCUAACGCAUUAAGCA